CUGUUCUAAACGUUUCACACCAUCGAUGCUGAAACGCAGCUUUUGAUGGUACGUGAACGGGACGGUUAUUCGCGUCGACAGGGGAUGAGAACGCUGGUCGGACCUGUGUCACUUCCGGACCUGGUUGGUGACGUGCACUGGGCUGUAUAUCUGGCAUGCGUCUCCUUUCAGUUGCCAGAGAAUUUGCUUAUUCCGCCGUAUUCCGGAAGCCAAUAUCUAUCUACAUCGGUACCCACUAGGCGCCGUUACUCGUCCACAAGUCUGCAACUGUGGGUCAUGAGGUCAGUGGCAUGCUCUUUGGCUUGUCAUAUGUUGGGUAGACCAACCACACAUGUCGACAGUCUUCAGAAGACAUCGCUUGCGCAAGUAGGCAGUGUCGCAGGACUAGUUGUCACUCUUGCAGUAGGAAGAACCGAAGGGCCUCUCGCUAGUUUAUUUCCGGGAAUGGUCGAACGUGCAUUUUCCAACUGGCGUGGGAAGAAUGUAAGACUAUUUGGUGUCAGUUCCAUUAAUACACUCAGCCACAAUCUUCGUGGAAGUACGCACCCUGACGUGCUGAGGAAAUGCUGCUGACAAAUCACUGCUCUAUUUGCGGGGUUGCUUUUAUGAAAUACGUCCUCAUAUGCAGUAUUCUAGUGUUAGCAUUCUUUCAGAUAACGUCUGUUUGUGUUGGAUCUCACGGUGCAAGCUCCGAGAGCGUACUUACUGAUGAAGAACAUCUCGUACGCAAAUUUUGAUUCAACAAUAGAAUGUUCCUUUCGGUGACUGGAUGUCAGCUACAAAAGCACAACUUCCUUCAACAGGCGCAUGGUGGAAACGGAAGAUCGUUACGAUUUCACGUUGACAUACGUGGAGGCACGUACCAUCCUGAAAGCAGCGAACUAAAUGAAGCAAGCCGGCAAGCUGGCGCGCAAGCGAUAGCAGAAGAUGGGCUUAGACGCUCAUUAUCGUGACCGCUGCUCGACGAUGGCGAAAGCUGAUUUUGUGGUAAACGACGCGGUUAUUUGCAUCUUCACUUCGACACGGUACUGAAAUUGCGUAACCUUCCUUGCUGAGGAACAUCAAAACGCGGCAUCCUAACAGUGUUCGGUGUUGUUCACGGCGUCAGCGCGUUCUGCUGGAAGGACACAGAAGGAUUUCAUUGCUUUGCGCUCGGACCGAUGUCGCACGGUGAACAUGGUGAGCAAAAAUUGACGUUGGUGCCGCUUGCGAAUCUGCAGAUGCCGCGUGCCUGGGAAGAGUAUACUGCCUUGAAGGCAUCCAUUGGCGUUUGCGUGUUCAGUACUCUACACCUGACAGAAGCAGGCACUGACGGAGCCACUCCGUACAACCCACUGUGAUAUACACUUCGUAGUCACUCAUGAAAAGAGAGCCUAUACCUAUUGAUGCGGCGGAAUGCUGUGCAGAUGCGAUCAGAACAGAUGUGUGACAAACCACCUCAUCCUCGCGGCGAAUGAUGUACGAGCAAAGGGUCACUUGUUUCGCCAGCUGCUGGUACAUGCGUUUCGUGUUUCUUUUUUGUCGGAAACCGGAGCAACGGGAAAAUCUUUUACGUUCGGCCGAUGCAAUGGGUACGCGGAAGCCAACGUAGAGUUGCCUCGGAGGAAUUGAGCAGUACACAGGAAGAUGUGACGAUAC
rnacentral:lncRNA from 1 species